UUUUUGAGAUGAUCAGAGAUUACGGACGAGCAGCUUCAGAUCUUCAGCGACUUGUGUCCCUUCUGACAAGGCAUAUGGAAAAUAAAGUUGGUGGAUCUGGAUCACAUAACAAAAUGAGAUUCGGCAAACACAACAAAAGCUUUCGGCAACGGAGGAAGAAGCCAGAAAGGAAAUCCCCUUGAACUUUUACCUCACUUUAUGAGUUUCUUAGUUGUGACUCAAGUUAUUGAACUCUUUCUUUUACCUUUAAUGACAUGCAAUAGAAGCAGACAUGGCAUGUUAAAAAUUACAAGAUAUUAAGGUUUUGUUUCUCUAGCUUACAUCUAUAAAACGAAUCGAGAGAGUAUUUAUUUGUGGAAAUAAUAUGCAUACAGGUGUAUUUUUUUGUAGUAAGCAAUUUGUUUUUCUAACGAUGACAGGGGAGUUGAUUCAUCUCCUGGUGCAUCAGAAAUUAGGAAAGCCUAUAGAAAAGCUGCGCUCAAGCAUCACCCUGAUAAGGCUGGGCAAUCACUGGCUAGAAAUGACAAUGCGGAUGAUGGACUGUGGAAAGACAUAGCAGAACAAGUCCACAGAGAUGCCGACAAGCUCUUUAAGAUGAUAAGCGAGGCCUAUGCAGUGCUUUCGGACUCUGCAAAGGUUUAAAUCCCAGCUGAGACAAAAGACACCAGGUGACUCGUCCCAUCUGUCCAAGCCUUGGUGAAGAGUUACCUGGUACUUGUUGCAGGCAGAGGUAGCAGGUAUCUCCAUAGAAUUAGUCAAGGUGCGGACAAGCUGCCCGGACACAACGAUUAUAAAAAAAGAAAUUGUUACCGACAUCAAAGAAAGUGUAGCAUGUAAAAUGGCCAAUUUGUUGCUAGUCUUUCUUUCCCUAUCCCGGUCUCUGGUAUUUUAUGUUGGCAUGGAAUUAGGGGCUCGCAGCAAGUUUAUGUGCCAAACGGC